AUGGGUGUUACGCACGAUUCGUCUCGGAUACACCAUUCAGUUUCGAAAAGGCCCGCCUCCUUUCCGCGGAAUUCUUCCCACGGUUGUGAAACCAGAGGAAGUCGCGGUGCUGCGGCAAGAAAUGACAGCUCUGCUGAAGAAAGGGGCUAUAGAAGAAGUACACCCCUCUCAGAUGGAGUCAGGUUUUUACAGCCGCUAUUUUGUUGUACCAAAAAAAGGGGGCGGUUUGCGACCCAUAUUGGAUCUACGCCGUUUGAAUCUUGCACUCAGGACGAGCAAAUUCAGGAUGUUAACGGUAAAGUCCAUUUUGUCUCAGAUUCAACCAAACACUUGGUUUGUCACGAUCGAUCUGAAGGAUGCAUAUUUUCAUAUUCAGAUCAUCAAGAGACACAGGAAGUUCCUCAGAUUCGCUUUAGAGGGCAAAGCGUAUCAAUACCGUGUUCUUCCGUUCGGCUUAGCCCUGGCUCCCCGAACUUUUUCAAAAUGCAUGGACGCAGCUCUGGCCCCGUUGCGGCUCCAGGGCGUUCGUGUGUUGAAUUACUUGGACGAUUGGCUGGUGCUAGCUCAAUCACAGACUCAAGCACUCUCUCACCGAGAUUUAGUGCUGAAUCAUUUAAGAAGCCUGGGCUUAUGCACGAAUUUCCAGAAGAGUGUUUUAAUCCCCUCUCAACGGAUAACCUUUCUGGGAAUAGAUUUGGACUCUCGCGCGAUGACAGCCAGACUAUCUCUCCCGCGCGUUCAGUCUCUCACGUCAUGCGUGCGUCACUUCAAAGUAGGCCGCACAGUGACGGUGAGUUUGUGUCUCAGGCUGUUAGGUCUGAUGGCAGCGGCAUCCCCUGUAAUUCGUCUGGGCUUACUUCACAUGCGCCCUUUUCAGUGGUGGACGAAAAGUCAGAACAUUUCACCCCGUUGUUUUCCGCAUCGUACGAUUUCGGUGACACGGAGGUGUGUUAUGUCAAUAAAACAGUGGAUGUCAACCGAGUUCCUUCUAGCCGGAGUUCGGCUGGGGAUUUGUGCUUCCCGAGAGACUGUCACGACGGACGCGUCUUUGACCGGUUGGGGAGCUGUUUGUCAAGGGCGCCCAGCUCAUGGAGUGUGGACAGCGACACAACGCGGUUGGCACAUAAACAGGUUGGAACUACUGGCAGUUUUUCUAGCUCUCCAGUAUUUCUCAAAUCUGCUGACCGGCCGUCAUGUACUACUCAGGUCAGACAACAUGGCGGUUGUGUCAUACCUGAAUCAUCAAGGAGGGUUACGCUCUCGCCCCCUGUGCAGGCUGGCGAGGAGUAUUCUUCUUUGGUCUCGGAACAGAUUUCUAUCGAUCCGAGCAGUUCAUGUCCCCGGACGUUUGAACGUCGGAGCGGAUCUGCUAUCCAGACAGACUCUGGAGCAGGGGGAAUGGAGAUUACACCCACAGACGGUGAGCCUUUUAUGGCAGAUAUUCGGAGAGGCGAGAGUGGACUUAUUCGCGUCGAGCACGACUACGCAUUGCCCGCUGUGGUUCUCCCUAUGCCCUCCAUCGCCCCUAGGCCUGGAUGCGUUAGCUCACGAUUGGCCCAGGACCAGCUUGUAUGCUUUUCCUCCAAUUCGUUUAAUUCCAGCGGUGUUGUCCAGGAUACGGCUGGACAGAGUGGAGCAGCUGCUGCUGGUGGCUCCGUGGUGGCCCACACAGCCGUGGUUUGCGGAACUGGUCAGUCUAAUAGUGGGCUCUCCAUGGGAGAUUCCCCUCAGACAGGACUUACUAUCGCAAGCACGAGGGAUGAUUUGGCACCCGAGGCCAGAUCUGUGGAAACUGUGGGCGUGGCCUCUGAGCGGAGUGAGUUAAUAUGUCCCGGUCUUUCUGCGGAAACCUCCGAGACUAUUAUGAAUUCCAGAGCAGCAUCUACGAGACGCUUAUAUGCUUUCAAAUGGAAGCUGUUUACGACCUGGUGUGGUUUUCGUAGUAUAGACCCAGUUUACUGCCCAGUGGCUUCAGUACUGGAGUUCCUUCAAGACCGUUUCUCUGAUGGAGUAACGCCAGCAACUUUGAAAGUUUAUGUGGCAGCCAUUUCAGCUAACCACGUAUAUAUGGAUGGUGCUUCAGUGGGCCGUCAUCCGCUGGUCUCUCGCUUUUUACAAGGUGCGCGACGGCUGAGGCCUUUCCGCCCUGUGCGAGUUCCCUCAUGGGAUUUAUCUAUUGUACUGCAAGGUCUAUCAGGACAUCCGUUUGAGCCCUUGGAAACCGUACCGGAUAAAAUCCUGACCUUGAAGACAGUUCUUCUUAUGGCCUUAUCCUCCCUCAAGAGAGUUGGGGAUUUACAGGCUCUUUCUGUUUCGCCGUCGUGCAUGGAUUUUGCACCAGGCUUUGUGAAGGUAUUGCUGCGACCGAGGCCUAAUUAUGUCCCUAAAGUCGCUUCGAACCCCUUUCAUUUUCAGCAGACGGUCCUGGAGGCUUUACCCCCUGCUGGGAUAGGAUCAGAAGAUCUAAGUCUUUGCCCUGUCAGAGCGCUUAAGACUUAUGUCGAUCGAUCAGCCUCAUGGCGUGAGUCCGACCAGCUGUUUGUCUGUUUUGGACAUAAGAAUAGAGGCCAUGCUGUCACAAAGCAACGCAUGUCCCAUUGGUUGGUGGAGGCAAUAUCUUUAGCCUAUGAGGCGCGCGGACUCGCUUCGCCCUUAGGAAUUAGAGCUCAUUCCACGAGAGCAGUGGUUUCAUCGAAAUCAUUUCUCAGUGGAUCUUCUAUAUAUGAUGUCUGUGCUGCGGCAGGAUGGUCCUCUCCGAGCACUUUUGUCAAGUUUUACAGUCUGGAUGUGAGGAUGGCUCCUGGCUCCCGGGUUCUAUCCGCUUGA
ensembl:lncRNA